ensembl:lncRNA
GUUCCGGAAAGUUGGCAGAGAUUCGUAAGAUGAAUUGGAGAAGCGAAAUGGAGAAAGAGAAGAGAAAAGUCAUACUACAGUUUCUGCAUAAGCCACUUAAAUCAGAAAUGGAAGCACCAAGAAUGGAAAAGAAAAGUUUCACAGGACUUUUCCAAGUGACUUUGUCUUUUGGAUCCACCAGGAGACAAGGGAAGAGAGUAGAAGGUGGAGAACUGUUUUUGGGCCACUGCUGGAGGGCCCUGGACCAGAGUCCUCUGCUUGGCCUUUUGCUCUGGGCCAUUGAAUGAAGAAGAAAGGAAGUG